GUAAGGAAUAUUGGACAAUGGACGCAAGUCUGAUCCAGCCAUGCCGCGUGAAGGAUUAAGGUCCUCUGGAUUGUAAACUUCUUUUAUAAGGGACGAAAAAAGGCUUUUCUAAGUCGUCUGACGGUACCUUAUGAAUAAGCACCGGCUAACUCCGUGCCAGCAGCCGCGGUAAUACGGAGGGUGCAAGCGUUAUCCGAAUUCACUGGGUUUAAAGGGUGCGUAGGCGGGCAGGUAAGUCAGUGGUGAAAUCCUAGAGCUUAACUCUAGAACUGCCAUUGAUACUAUCUGUCUUGAAUAUUGUGGAGGUAAGCGGAAUAUGUCAUGUAGCGGUGAAAUGCUUAGAUAUGACAUAGAACACCUAUUGCGAAGGCAGCUUACUACGCAUAUAUUGACGCUGAGGCACGAAAGCGUGGGGAUCAAACAGGAUUAGAUACCCUAGUAGUCC
rnacentral:rRNA from 1 species